GCAUUGUGGCAGUCCCAGGCACCAAGAACCACAAGGAAACUUGUCUCCCCAGUGUGGCGGCACUGGGAGGACAUUACCAGCCAUCAGCAGCAAGAGUGAAACCGAGGAUCCACAACCAGUUCCCAGCAGACAAAAUCUGAGCAAAGCCAGGACCCAUGUCGCAAAUUCACUUUCUUAAUGUGAGAUCAGGGCAAAAAGAUGGACAAAAACGUUCCAUGGGAGCCGUGUCGGAGCAGGGAGCGGUGUCCUGCUAUUGCCACCUCGUGGGCCCUUGCAGCAAUAACCAGGUAACCCACUGCACGCUUUUUAGUGGCAUGAGCACUCACACAGUUUUCCUUCCUCACUCCCCCCUGCAGCAUGCACACACCAGCAGUGCUGCUCGGGGCUUUUCAAAGGGAGCUAGGAACCAGGAGGAAGGCCCGAGGCGUGUUCACUUCCCAUAUAUGAGGCGUUUUCUCCUGUUCCCUGUGCUGUUUGCCAUGCCCUGGCGACCAACCAUGCCAUUUGCUGUGUGUUUUGCACUUCCACCUACACUUCUAGGAUGCAGCAGCACAGAGGGGCAUCCAUUCCCAUGGCAGGAAGCAAAAUCUGCUCUGAUGUGUUAACCGAAGAAACCUGGAGGUUUCCCUGUGCUCUGCAGUGCAUUAGAGAGCAGGAAUUAGUCCUCCUCUCGCUGACAUGCAAUGGAAGGAGUGCGGCCCUUCCAUGACACAGGACAAGGAGUCAGCCACAGACUGGCUGCUGGGACUCUGCGUCUCUCAGGCUAUGGGGCUAACCUCUCAAGGCAUGGCUGAGCUCUGACAUUUGCUUUGGAUCAGUCCCUAAGUGUUAAAAGAAAUUAAAAGAAAAAAAAAAGUCAUUGCCCACAAGAGACAGAGCAGCCGUAUUUGUCCUGGAACAUAGUAUGGGUUAUAGGGUAGUCCUUCAGGCAAAGGGGCUAUACCUGUAGUGUCCUUUUCUCUGCUCAAGUGCCAUCUUUGUGAGAUCCAAAAAGUUCGAAUGGGAAAAAAAGCUCCAAACACACAACUGCUGUCUGACCUCACUGCCUCUUGCAACAGGGAAAUGUGUGAAACAUUCUUUGGUUGCUGAAUAAUUCCUCCUUUGAAAUAACAAAGGAACUAGGUAGGAUUUGCACAGCCUGAUAAGAUUUAGCACAACCUGAUAAGAUUUUGCUCCUGCUUCCCAUGGAUUCUUCUUCUAAAAUACUGGAACUUUUCGUGCAUUACAUGUAGCCUGUGACACAACCAAGUGACUUGACCGUAUAAAUUAGCACUAGAAAGGCCUUUUAGCAGCUUUCUUCUAUAGCAGCUCUUCGUUAUAGAAAGCAAACACAGAACUCUUCUGGGAGUUCAUCUAGGACCCUACAGGAGUCCUGGUCAGUCAGGAAAAGCACCCUAAAAGCUGAACCCCCCCAUGGACCCUCACUUCCAUACCAGGAACUUUCUAAAGGAGUGUGAGAGCAGGCGGACUUUCUGCCCAGGUUUCCCAAAUCCUGCUGCCUUUGCUGCUGUGUGGUAACUCAUUGCCUGGGCUCAGUCUGAAACUGCUACUGCUCGGGGAAAAGGAGUUUUCCUGGCUACAGAGAGUUCAUCGCAGCUAAAGCUGGCCUGGGCUGCUUGGAAAGGGCUGGUCUGCAGCGUUACUGAACUACCGCCUUGUUCCUCCUUCUCUUGGGGCUUUUUUUCUCCCUGUUACUGCUUCACUUUGUGACUCUUUUCAACCUUUUUGCUUCAGUUUCUAUGUCUUGUCUGUCUCUGCUCCCUUUUCUCCUCAGGCUCAGCAGCCAUCUCUCGCUUGCACACUAAGAUAUUGUGAUAACCACAGCUCAUCGUUUGCCUCUUCCUGGAAACCUGGGCCUCGGGUCACAGGUUUACCUUCAAUGGCAGCCUGGAGAUACGUGCCGUUCGGGCAGAGACAAAGGCAGAGCUGUGUUAGGUGGGUGGCAUGUAGACAGGAGAUCUUACUUCCCGGGGAGGAUUUUGCCCUGGGCUACAUGAGGGGGAAACGCUGGGAUUGUGCCCCUGAUGGCUGGAGAAUGCAGGUAUUUCUGUACGGCAGUGCCAUGCCGCCGUUAUCCCUUCAUCCAGUCACUUGAAGUCUGGAUCCAGUUCUCAUCAGCAUCGUGGGAAAAGCUCCAGUGAACUUCAGUGGGAAUUUAAUCAUCUAUUUCACUGCGCAAUUUUAACUAUUUUUUUUUUAAACCAGCUUCUUUUGUGUUAGGAAAAAUAUGGACUUUCCAGCACCUGAAACAACUGCCUGGGAGCUGUUUCUUCCCACCCCAGCUCAAAGCACAGCAAUAUUCUAUGGCUACAGUGGCAUGCUUCUUGCACUUCAAAGUCACUGUGGAUAGGGUUUAUACUUGUUAUUCCACUUAAUGUUUCUGACUUUGAAAUGAUUAUGGGGUCUCCUCUGAAUGCUUUAUGGGGUAACAAAACUCCAGAAGAACAGGGCUCUUUCCAGCUGAAUAAAUAGAAGAUAUUUUCAUAAAUCUUCA
ensembl:lncRNA